rnacentral:rRNA from 1 species
UACGUAGGGGGCAAGCGUUAUCCGGAUUUACUGGGUGUAAAGGGAGCGUAGACGGCAUGGCAAGCCAGAUGUGAAAUACCGGGGCUCAACCCCGGGACUGCAUUUGGAACUGUUAAGCUGGAGUGUCGGAGAGGCAGGCGGAAUUCCUAGUGUAGCGGUGAAAUGCAUAGAUAUCACGCAGAACUCCGAUUGCGAAGGCAGCAUACCGGCGCCCUACUGACGCUGAGGCACGAAAGCGUGGGUAUCGAACAGG